rnacentral:rRNA from 1 species
AGCCUCUUGCGAUGAUACCAUUUAUAAGGGGUUAUUUCUGCUCAAUGACUUAAGACGUUCAAUAGCCGCAGUACUCUGACUGUGCUAAGGUAGCAUAAUCAUUUGUCCUUUAAUUGGGGUCUAGUAUGAAAGGGAGUUAUGGGGGGAACCUGUAUCAGAUUUAUUUACUUUAAAUUGCUUAUUGGGUGAAAAAUCCCAUAGGGUAAAUAAAGGACGAGAAGACCCUAAGAGUUUAAAUUAACUAUAUAAAUAUAAAUCUUAAUAAUAGUAGGUUAUGGAGUUUAUAUUAUUUUUUUUAGUUUUUGCUGGGGCGGCAAAUUCUCAAUAUUCGAGUUAACGGAAUGUUGAUUUAGUUUAACAAGUCCAAGAUAUAUUAAGUAAGAAUAAACUACCUUAGGGAUAACAGCACUAUUCAUUAAUGAGAUUUUGACCUCGAUGUUGGAUUAGGUAAUUUGAUUAUCAGAAGUAAUCAAACAUUGUUCUGUUCGAACACCAUACACCU